rnacentral:tRNA from 1 species
GCCCUGGUCGUCUAGCCCGGUCAAGGAUCGCGGCCUCUCGCUCCACGUAGGAGGGGAAAGCCGUGGACGCGGGUUCAAAUCCCGCCCAGGGCAC